rnacentral:lncRNA from 1 species
GGUACCACGUUUUCGCAUGUUUCACAGACCGUGGUAUGUGUGAUCCAUACUCCACCAUCGCGGUACCCUCCCCCUCCUUAAGCAUCCUAAAGAAAAACACCGCAUCCUGCACUUGUGAUAUUCAGAGCCCUCGGAACCAGAGGAAUCUGCAGCCACGCAUACCGGGUGACCUGAAGUCUGGAGAGUCAACGCAGGGCAGGGACGGGAGGAGGUCGAGCAGGCAUGGAGGCUUGUAAGGAAUGUCCUGGAGCAGAUUCCUCCUUGUAUUCCAUAGACAAGGUAAGAACUUUCAGAGAGGAUUACCUAGAUUGCUAUUUUGUAACAUGAUCUUACCAUACCUAUUCCAUGUUCCAGAAUUUAUUGAGGAUUGGGAGGGGAGGUGGAGGGAAAAGACAACUAAAUAACUCAUCUGUAUACUUUUUCUGUCUGUCUGUCUUUUCCUUUCUAAGGAAAAGUUUUAAAAUAAGGAAGUGGGAGGAGGGGUGUUUGAGACCUGCAGGCUUCUCAUGGGAACAGUAUUAAAAAAAAAAAAUACAUGUUUGCAACAUCAUUAGUAACCUAGUAUUUAAAGGAGUUUUAGGCUAACAAAUGGAAAAUGUGGCCCUCGGAAAGGAUACACAUGCCUCCUGAAAGUCUAAUUUAGUAAAACGGAAACUCAUCUGCUAUUUUUAAAACCACUGAAUGUGUAUCAGGGCUAGGCCUAGGGGUCAUCUUUUUUUAUAGCCAGUAUACCUUUCAUAUAUGUGUGAAUACUUCUGUAUUUGUAAGCAAGAUACCUAAUCGUAAACAUUGUUGCAGAUAUAAUUCAUGCUCAGAGUCUGAAGAUUUACAUUUGGGCAGAGCCCCAGCUGACUAUUUCUAUGGUUAUUAUUGUCUCUUACCAAUGAUCUUUACAAAGAAGACCCUUCACUUAAAGAACUAUUAUGGAAGGAGGGUAAGAUAUUCUAGAAGUCUCUCAAAAUUAGGAAAACACCGUCAGGAUACAUAUGAAAUGUUCCUUUCCCCUCUGAACAGGAAACGUUUUUGCUAAGCCAAUAAUGCACUAAAAAUAUCACGGGGUAAAUACUUGACUCAUUAAAUUGAACUUACCAGUCUUGGAUGAGCUCUGACCACACGCACUGCUCCGCGCCUGAGACGCUGGCCCGCAGGACGGUUCUUUCUCGUCUUCUCUCUUGGUCGGCUCUCCCGAAAUGAGCGCCUCCACUCGCAGUCUGGCCGCCCCUCUCUGCCUACCUCCGCCUCAGACCUGGACCCCGGGUUUGAUCUGUAGAUCUCCUGCCUACCUGGGGUCCUCCUUCUCUGUAUCUUCCCACGUGGUAACGGGUUUAAACUGAACGCACCUGACUCUCCAGAUCCCACUUUACCCUGUUGUUCCCACAGUGCUUUAGGGCCUUGAUGUUUUAUUCUAGCCACCUAGAACUUUCUAUCCUCCUGGUCUUUGCAUAUUGACCUCCUGCAUUGCAUUUAAACACAAGUGCAAUACUGAGAGGGCUUACUAAGCACCUGCUGCUGCGCCUCCCCUCGACACACAGGCUGCCAACGACUGUCACUACCUGUUGGGUUCAUCAGCGCGCGCUUUAAAGUUGCUAAAAUAGUCUUGUUGAUGUUGUCACUCGUUUAUUCUCUCAAUUGCCCGGCCAGAGGGUAUGCUGCAUUAAUGCACAGCUGAGGGCACAGGGCAGGGUCCCUGAAACUUUUAUGUAUGUAUGUAUUUAUUUAUUUGAGAUAGAGAGAGAAAGAGGGG